UAUAAUGUUUAAUUUGUAUUUUUCUUUCCAUGACUUUUUUUUUCUCUUUCAGUCAAGUUUUUCCAUUAAAAAAAUGCAGUAAAUUAUAACAGAGCAAGACAUCACAAGCAAAUAGGAAAAAAAGCCUCAGGAAAAAUCAGUUUCUUGGUAAGUUUCAUCAUGUGGCCCCACAAGUAGUUGUACAAACCACUGUAUUAAACCCCAGAAGAGGGGCAAGGAGCUCAUUCACAAGACUUAGCUACAGAAAAUGCAGUCAAGACAGUCCCUUCCUUCAAGCAGUAGACAAGCCACUAUGUAGUUAAGAGCAUCCUGGCAAAGCACCAUGCAAGAUACGAGCAGAAAUGUGCUGUGGCUGCUGCACGUGAAGAUACAGCCUUUGGUAACUUCUUGCUGAGCCGCUAGAGGCUGCUAAACAAACGUAACCCAUAGCCUCACCCUGUGAGGAUGCUGGACGAGGUUAAGGGCAAAGCUGAAAUAAAAAAACAUCACUAGAGUAGUUGCUUGAAAGACAACACAUUCUUCCGGGUAGAGACAGUGAGGAGUUGGUGGAAUAGAAACAAGAAAAGUAGAGACUUCUUUUUCUGCUCUCUGGGUCAUUUCUUUUGCUGGUUAUAAGCUUUAAAAGCUAAAGACAAGAUCUUGCUGACUAAUCCUAUUUCUGUUGUACAUAGAGGCUCAAUAAAAUGGCUGGGGAGGUGAAAUAUGCAGAGAAACAAUUGAACUCCUGCAAAAAUCAGGAGUUUUCAUCCAUAUCCAUCCCUUUUGAAUAACUGCUUGAAAAAGUGUGUAUGUACAAAUACAUAUAUUAAAAAAUAAACGCACAGUGAAGAAAGGAUUCCUAGGGAUUCUCCUUGAUUCUCCUGUCCUCCCUUUUCUGUCAUCCAGCAGAGCUUCUUGUUAAGCUCAAAUAAGAAAGAGAACUGUUUUUCUGUUCACUGGAACUGCUUUCUCUUCAGUGAAUAUAUCAAUUGAAUAUUUUUUUUUAAUGUUAAAGUCAUAUAAGGAAUAACUGUAAAUAUGAAUCCUUGAGCUUAAAAAACUCGAUUGAAGAACUUUCGUGCUUAUGAAACG
rnacentral:lncRNA from 1 species